UACGUAGGGGGCAAGCGUUGUCCGGAAUUAUUGGGCGUAAAGCGCGCGCAGGCGGUCAUUUAAGUCUGGUGUUUAAACCUUGGGCUCAACCUGGGGUCGCACUGGAAACUGGGUGACUUGAGUACAGAAGAGGAAAGUGGAAUUCCACGUGUAGCGGUGGAAAUGCGUAGAUAUCUGGAGGAACACCGGUGGCGAAGGCGGCAUCCUGGACCAACACUGACACUGAGGAGCGAAAGCCAGGGGAGCAAACGGG
rnacentral:rRNA from 1 species